GUCGGUGGCAACAGCGGCGGGGAAACGCCCGGACCCAUCCCGAACCCGGAAGCUAAGCCCACCAGCGCCAAUGGUACUGCACACGGCAGUGUGUGGGAGAGUAGGACACCGCCGACA
rnacentral:rRNA from 1 species